rnacentral:misc_RNA from 1 species
AAAGUGCGAUAAGCAAUGCGAAUUGCAGAAUUCCGCGAAUCAUCAGAUCCUUGAACGCAACUGGCGCUAGGAGGCUCCCCUCCUAGCAUGUCUGUUUCAGUGUCUGAAAACCUCACACACUAAACUUAAUGUGGUUGAUGAAGAGAAAGAGAAAUCUCUUUCUCUGAAUCUCCCAUGAAAGAUGUACAUGCGAGUCUUUGGACUCCUCAUCGAAUUGGUCACUGUUUUCUCAGUGAUUUCGAUAGGAGGAUUAAAACAAUUCAAUUACUCAAAUGCAUGUAGGAAUUUCUUUAAAAAACUCAAACUCUGCAUCUGAAAUCAGGCAAGAACACCCGCUGAACUUAA